CACAUAAAUGCAUUUCUUAAAGUAUUUAAAAACAACACACAAAAAAUAAGCACAUUCUAAAUCUAAUAGAACUAAAAAUUAUGAAAAGUGUUUAAUACAUAGUCUUUAAAAUAGUAAUCUUCUUUUAAAUAUAUCUUUUUUUAUUGGUUAGCUUUUCUAUAGGAGAAAACCAAAAGGACUAAGUGGUGCCUUGCAGGAAGUAGGAAUAGAAUUCUCAGGACGAGAACAUUCUGGUUAGUAUACAUUAAAAAUUAUGUAAGCCAUUUGACUUUUAAAAAAUACUUCAUAUGAAUUUCAUUUUUUGGUAAUGUCAUUAGUAAGGGAUAUCUUCAGCCUAAAAAAAAAAAACUCCUAAUCUAAACAAUUCACAUUGUUUCUAAGACUUUCAAAUUACCACUUUCAUAAACUAUUGUAAGAUACACUGCCAUCUAGUGGCUUUCUAGUUGCUAAGAAGAAUGAAAAGAAUGAGCCAAAUCAAAUGGAGAUUAAACAAGUGCUCAAAUAAUAGAAUGGACUAGUGAAAAAACUGAACAAGACUAUUAGAUUAUUCACAAAUCCUGGUUCCUGCAGAACGCUGGCCACAUUUUGGGGAACUGUCUAAUACAUUUUCAUAUCCUCCUCUAUAAAUGUGGACGAGCUUGUCUUUCACUGGUAAUGCUGCCAUAGCCUUCCACUUCCAAGACCAGUUUAUCAUGAUUAAAAUUAGUAGAUGGUCAUAAAACUAAAACUGUGUUCCAAUUUCUACACAAGUGGUGUUUUUCUUUUUAAGUUAUUUCUUUAGUACUAAGGAAAUAGUACUAGUACCACUAAAUUCAGUGUUUGAUAUCUGUAUCCUCAGGGUUGGACGAUUCUCGGAAUACUGCCCUUCUUGCUUGGAAAAUGAUCAGAGAUGGUUGUGUAAUGAAAAUUACAAGGUCGUUGAACAAGGUUAGUAGUGUCUUGCCUUUUUAUUCUGUCAUCUCAAACUUCAUAAACAGUCAUACGUUCUUUGAAACGUAGAUUUAAUGUGUGCAGUCAUUUAUAAAUCAAUGACAUUUCUCUUUUUUGUCAUAAAACUGUAUACUGAAGAAAUUAACGAAUGCACAGUUUCUAAAGCUGUUGCAUUUGUCUGUGGAAUCAUAGGUUCCCACUAAGAAGAAUUUCAGCAUUCUGGCCAGAAAUUUGAAUACAAUUCAAGUUGAAGAAAUGUCUGCCUGUAACAUUAGCAUCCAGGGUCCCAGCAUAUAUAAUAAGGAGCCUAAAAAUAUAAUAAAUCCUCAUGAAAAAGUUCAAAUGAAGUCAAUUUGUGCAAAUUCUCCUAUAAAGGCACAACAGGAUCAAUUACAAGUAAAAAACAAUAUAAAAGCAAGUCUUCACAAUGUCAAAAGUUCCUUACCUCUUUUUAAUACUAAGUCCUCUACUUCUGUGGGGCAGUUGCAGUCUCCUACCUUGAAUUCACCUAUCUAUAUGCAAAAGCAAGGAAAAAAUGAACAUCUUGCAUUUAAUACCAAAUCUAAGGCUUCAACAGUUGGUUCAGAAUUGGUACUUGUUUCUACCACCGUUCCAACUGUUCAUCAUGUUUCUGAUUUGGAAAUGAGCUCUACUCUGGACUGUUUACCUGUGUUGGCUGAUUGGGAGGAUGUGGUUUUACUGCCAGCAUCUCAGCCUGAGGAAAACGUAGACUGUACAGUUCCCAUUAGUGACUCAGACUUAGAGAUUUCAUUUAAUUCUGGAGAAAGAUUAAUGGUUUUGAAAGAAUUGGAAAUGUCAAGUCAUGAAAACUUUGGAGACAUAGAGGAAACUCCUCAAAAAUCUGAGACUUCUAAGUCUAUUGUGUACAAGAGUCCUCACACUACUAUUUAUAAUGUAAAAGAAGCCAAAGAUCCAGGUUCAGAUAUUUCUGCCUUUAAGUUACCUGAACACAAAUCAAGUACCUUCAACAGAGUUAAUGCCAAUAUGUCUCAUCCUUUAGUUUUGGGGAAACAUCCUCUUCUUUCAGGUGGUACCAAAAGGAAUCCAUGCAGUCCCCAAGCUUUCCCACCAGCAAAAAAACAACCCUUCACUAUUCAUGAAGAAAAGCCUACAUCAUCUGAUUGCUCCCCAGUAAGAAGUUCUUCCUGGAGGCGUCUCCCAUCUAUAUUAACUUCUACAGUUAACCUACAAGAGCCAUGGAAGAGUGGGAAAAUGACACCUCCAUUAUGCAAGUGUGGUCGGAGAUCUAAGAGACUUGUUGUUUCUAAUAAUGGACCGAACCAUGGAAAAGUCUUCUAUUGUUGCCCUAUCGGGAAAUACCAAGAAAACAGAAAAUGUUGUGGUUAUUUCAAAUGGGAACAAACACUUCAAAAGGAAAGAGCCAACAGCAUGGUUCCAUCUCAUUCCACAGGGGGACUCACUUUUAGUUCUCCAGAAACAAGCCAUAUUUGUGACAGAAAUUUAAGUAUUUCCACCAAAAAUUCUUUGAGACUCAGGCCUUCAAUGAGGAAUUGAUAACCUUUCAUGUAUGAAUCCUAAUUGUUCCUUGAAUUUCCAAACAUGAGUAUUCUGAUAACAUCUUACACUAUUUUAUUUUUAUUUUAUAUAUUAAUGUUUACUGCAUUUACCAUACUUUCUUCAGGAACCACAAGUGUAAUCUUUUGUAAACAGUAUUUAUUAGAUUACAUAUAAUAAGCAACAAUAGUAUAUGAUCCUUCUUUUAUAGUUAGACCUUGAAACAAGUCUAAACUAUUUUUAAAUUAUUUGCAAAAAAUGUGACUAAUAAAAAUCCCUAGUCUAUUUUCAGGUAGAUUCUUGUACUUUGAGAUUAUCAUAAUCUUCUAACUGAUAUUUUAUAUUUUUCUAAAAACUUUUAUAAGUUCUUUAGUUUUAUUUCAGGCUUGAACAUUGGUUCUGAUUUGUAUAUCAACAUAUCAGAAGAAUUAGUCAACUAAAGUUUGAAAACCUAUGUAGCAGAGAUCUGGUUCAGAAACUGCUUCUAUACUAUACAUUUAAAAAUUAAUCAGCAAUUGAUGGUAUUAUUUUUAUAUUAAGAAAUGAUAGGAACAUUGACACUAAUGUGGAGGAAUUUGCCAAAUAUUUUAUUUCAAAAUUUAGCCUCUGAUAUCAUAACCACAAGAUAUUUUAAAUCAACAGUUUCUAAGCAUACUACCACAGUUUUUAUGACCUCUCCAUCAUCUUGUGGUUUCUAGAGAUUGACAGAUACUAUGUUUGUUUUAUAGAUAUGGUAAUUAAUGAAACAACUUUAAAUUGUCUUCCAUUCUUUCUUCCUCAGUUCAUUUCUUUUUGUCUUCCCACUGAUAGUCUUUGGCAGCUCUUGAAUAAAUUCUACCUGUUGGCAUCAAGGGGAAGAAAAUUAGCCUGGAAAUUUUUAUCUUUACAUAAAGCCAAUUAUAUAGCAGUUUGAUUAUGAAUUCUAGGUGGAAGAAUUAGAAUAGUCUUUGGAAUGGGUUUUGGGUAACAGCCAAAAUAGGGAAAAGGGUAUUGUUAGGAAAGUUGUCUUGAUAUUAAGUAUUUACUGUGAGUCCAGUAAGCCAAAGGACCAAACAAAAUAGGUUCAGGGUUUCAUUUUAAUCUCAAAGAUUCUGAUUCUUACCCAUAUGUCAUCAGUUCAGUUUGGGACAUGUGGUGCAGCAUGUGUGAAGAAAAUAUUCAUUAAAAUGUAAAAAUAAACACUUGAAAUUGUCCACAACACUGAGCAAAUAUUCGUUAUAAUUAGGAUGCCUACCUUUCUGGGAUAUUUGUAAGGUGCUGUAGUUUUUUUAACAUGCUCCUGAAUCUCCUUUAUUAGUUGUUCUUGAUCAUGUGACUUGUAAUCAGGAUUUAGAACGACAAAAGCCUUUACUACCUAAAAUAAAUAUUUGAAACACCAGG
rnacentral:lncRNA from 1 species